GUAUGGAAGACAUCGUUUCGUCUCAGCUUCAGUCGAUACUACUUCUUCAACAUGAAAGCCGCUGCAGUUCUUGCUUUCCUGGCCGUUUUGGCAAUGGAAUUGCUCCAAGCCAAUGCCCAGGGAGGAGGUUUGGGGGGCGCCGUCGGCGGCAACGGUGGUAUCGAAGGCGUUUGAUGGUGGUUACUUAAACACGUAAAAUGCGCAGCCGUCACAAGAACGUCUCCAAGUUAUUGAAAAUUUUAAUUGUUCCUACGAAUUACGUUUUACGUUUAAAUAAUUUUGAUUAAAUUUUUGUUGGCUGUA